ensembl:lncRNA
GUUACUAAUGGUUUUCUUUGACUGUGGUCCCAGCUCUCUUCAGGUCAUUGACCAGGUCCUGCCGUGUAGUUCUAGGCUGAUCCCUCACCUUCCUCAUGAUCAUUGAUGCCCAACGAGCACAUCCCAGCCUUGUGCAGGUCUACAAUUUUAUCCCUGAUGUCCUUACACAGCUUUCUGGUCUUGGCCAUUGUGGAGAGGUUGGAUUGAGUGUGUGGACAGGUGUCUUUUAUACAGAUUCCGUCUCUCACAGGUGAAGUGUAUCUAUGAUAAAAAUGACAGACCUCUACAUGCUUUGUUUGUCUGGUCAAAGUGUGGCAGACAUAAACUCAAAGGGGACUGACGGUGGAGUCGGCAACCUUGAUUUCAGAAAGAUUAUGAUUGACAGCCUACCACAGGGUCUCAGAGUGAACACUUAGCCUUUUUGUCAAGACUGAAGCCGACCUUCGCUAUAGCAAAUAUGAUAGGCAUGUGAUUAUAGUUUUGGCAGAUGAGGAACAAUGGGAAACAAAUUAGUAAAAAAGCGAGAUACAGAAAGCAAAGGAGGUAGCAGCAAAAGAGGGUGGAAAUUACAAGUGCCAGUUAAGUUAAGGAGAAGAACAGCAAGGGGGAUAGUGCAGACAAUGGAUACAGAGUUAAUGAAGUUGAAGGAGGAAGCACAGAGCUUAUAAUCAAAUCAGUCAUAAUUGUUGUGAAUGUUGAAGGAACUAAUGGAACAUUUUAAGAAAGAAGUGAUAGGAGAAGAAGGCCUCAAUGCAAGGCCUGAAAGACCAGGAAGAACAAAUACAGAAAUAAUAGAAAUAGGGGCAACUGCAAAUAGAGCAGGUCAAGGCCAGGGAUUAGUGGAACCAGUAAAACUGAAGGUAAAGACAACAAGAAGAGGGAACCGGAAGCUGGAUGGAAGACAUGGGAGAGGGGACGGAUAUUUGAAUAGAACAGGUGGAGAAGAUACUUGAUUGGAAGAAGGGGGUGGGGCUAAGGUAGAACAGAGAGGAGAAGAUACUGGAUUGGAAGAAGGGGGUGGGGCUAAGGUAGAACAGAGAGG